AUUGAACGCUGGCGGCAGGCCUAACACAUGCAAGUCGAGCGGAUGAAGGGAGCUUGCUCCUGGAUUCAGCGGCGGACGGGUGAGUAAUGCCUAGGAAUCUGCCUGGUAGUGGGGGAUAACGUCCGGAAGCGGGCGCUAAUACCGCAUACGUCCUGAGGGAGAAAGUGGGGGAUCUUCGGACCUCACGCUAUCAGAUGAGCCUAGGUCGGAUUAGCUAGUUGGUGGGGUAAAGGCCUGCCAAGGCGACGAUCCGUAACUGGUCUGAGAGGAUGAUCAGUCGCACUGGAACUGAGACACGGUCCAGACUCCUACGGGAGGCAGCAGUGGGGAAUAUUGGACAAUGGGCGAAAGCCUGAUCCAGCCAUGCCGCGUGUGUGAAGAAGGUCUUCGGAUUGUAAAGCACUUUAAGUUGGGAGGAAGGGCAGUAAGUUAAUACCUUGCUGUUUUGACGUUACCAACAGAAUAAGCACCGGCUAACUUCGUG
rnacentral:rRNA from 1 species